rnacentral:lncRNA from 1 species
AUGGAGCGUUUUAGGAUUUAAGGUUAUAGGGUUUAAAGGUUUUUAGGAUUUAGAGUUUUUGGAGUUUAAGGUUUAAGGGUUUAAGCUUUUUUAGGAUUUUAGAGUUUCUGGGGUUUAAGGGCUUUAAUUAGAGUUUUAGGAUUUUUAGGAUUUGUAGGGUUUGGGCUUUUUUUUAGAGUUUCGUGAUUUUAGAAUUUCGGGACUUCUUAGAUUUUAGGCUUUUUUUAGGAUUUUAGGGUUUUAGGGUUUAUGGUUUAGGAGCACGGCCAUGAGAUUCUAAUUAGCAGGUGCGCACAAAAUAAUUUCCUUAGUCUUUUACGGUAAUCAAAAUAUUAA